GAUGAACGCUGGCGGCGUGCCUAAUACAUGCAAGUAGAACGCUGAAGCUUGGUGCUUGCACCGAGCGGAUGAGUUGCGAACGGGUGAGUAACGCGUAGGUAACCUGCCUCUUAGCGGGGGAUAACUAUUGGAAACGAUAGCUAAUACCGCAUAAAAGUCGAUAUCGCAUGAUAUUGAUUUGAAAGGUGCAAAUGCAUCACUAAGAGAUGGACCUGCGUUGUAUUAGCUAGUUGGUGAGGUAACGGCUCACCAAGGCGACGAUACAUAGCCGACCUGAGAGGGUGAUCGGCCACACUGGGACUGGGACACGGCCCAGACUCCUACGGGAGGCAGCAGUAGGGAAUCUUCGGCAAUGGGGGCAACCCUGACCGAGCAACGCCGCGUGAGUGAAGAAGGUUUUCGGAUCGUAAAGCUCUGUUGUAAGAGAAGAACGAGUGUGAGAGUGGAAAGUUCACACUGUGACGGUAACUGACCAGAAAGGUACGGCUAACUACGUG
rnacentral:rRNA from 1 species